CCUGCCCCUAGAGGCAUGGUAGGUAUGUCUGCUGUGUCUCAUGUGCAUCAGCGGGUGGCAGGGAGGAGAGAGGAUAUGUCUACACUCAGCUCAGUGGUCUGAACUGUGCACAUCUGGAUGGUUAGUAGCUUAACACU